rnacentral:lncRNA from 1 species
CCUAAGAAAUAUAAUUAAAGUACAGGGAAAAUUAAAAGAAAGUUCACAGAGAGAUAUCACGGCAAAUGAUAAAUACAAAAGCCUGCCUUGUUUCCCAUACCCCCUGUGUCUUAGAUUCCCUGAAUUUUACCUCCCAGUGGACCGUGCUUGUCCCUUUGUAAUGGCGCUCCAAGCAGCACUGCUGCACACCAAUUCCUGAGCUUCCCUGCUUCUUGAGCUUAGGAAUAGUUGUGCUUCUAUUUCCUGUUUAUUUGCUCAUCACUGGAGUAGCAACUGAACCACACAAUUGGGAUAAGUACCCUGAGGCCAUUUUGGGAGUAAUCUUCCAUUUCUUCCUUACGUAUAAAACUGCCCCUCACAGAGAAACUGUCUAGAGUGAUAGGUCCAGAGUAGAGCUCUAGCUUUGCUUUACCCUUUGCAGCUGUGCUCUGAGAGCUUUGAUGCAAUCCCACUGCAACUGGAAUCAGUGACAGAGUAGGGAUGCUCAGGGAAUCUGUUGGGCCACCAAAGAAAACUCACUUCUAGCUAAUGCUUAUCUGGGGCUAUGGAAGUUGUCUAACAUCCCUGGGGACAGAGUGUUUGCCCUGAAAAGGAACAUUCCCUUGGCACAAAGUAUCCUGUUGGCUGGAUUUUAUUAUAAAUGUGACAAGAAUGCUUUUGGCCAGUAACUGGUGGUUGGGUCAGUUUGUGUUUUGUAAACCCAUAAAGAGGAAAAGGCUCUCAUGUGGUUGGGAGAGGUGGGAAUGGAUCAUGCACUAAGGUCAGGUCUGGUGAAGUUAGGGAAUAAGGCCAGUGUUUACGAAGAGUGAUUCCUUCAUGAACCCCUAAAAGAUGCUCUGGAACACUACCAGUAGGAUGAUGUCUGUAUGUAGAGGUGCAGAUGACAUGUUCUCGGAAUACAGAGGAAGGCACCACUGCCUCUACCUUGAGAGUAUAUCACAGAGAAAGAUUUAUAUUUGGACUAGAUGGCUGAGAGAUGAGUAGGAGUUUGAUAGAAGAGAGCAUGGAAACUGGCUGUACAACGGCAGAAAGGGCAGGAAAGGCUGAGGAGAAUUGGCCUCUGGGGGUGGGUUAUAGAUAUGGGCCUGGGCACCACAUUCUGGAGCUUGCAAUGGGGUAUGUAAAAGCUUAGAUGGGAUGGUCUUUUCCUCUCCUCCCAUGGGUUCAUAGUUGGCCCACCUCACUCACUGCUGCAAACAAGCUGCCCCCAUUUGAGAGAGAGCUGGAGUGGGGUCUCUAAGCCUCCAGCAACCACUUAGGAGCUAGCCUUGAUGCCCCAGCAGCUAACCUCAUGGAGACCCCAUAGUCCAUCCUAUCUUGGGAAGACAAUGCAGGCAUGGGGAAGGUAACAUUCCCCUCCAGACUCCAGAGGCUCCAAGGAGCCUCUCUCUCUCUUCAAGAAAAGAAAUAGUCACUGAGCCACGGGUGGAGGUGAACAUGGUUUGGGACCAACAGGCGGCUGGAUGGUUUCACCUCCACGGUCAUACAAUGGUACUGGGAGAUGAAUGGGGGUAGGGCGAUCUAGAAUUAGUUCAACCUCAACUUCCAGUGGGGUGGUGCUUGGAGUUGACUCAUUGUGGCCCCAUUUAAUAUUCGCAGUCACCAGUUGGGGUAGGUGGGACUGUUGCUCCCAUUUCACAGAUCAGGACAGGAUAGUUUGCUAGAGGUCACAGGACUAGUUGGGGAAAGGAAAGGGUGUCAGGUAGGAUUUUAACCUUAGAGCCUCACGUUUUCUUAGGCUCUUUCAGGGGGACCUUGGGCAAAUUCCGUUCUCUCUUGGUGGGGGGGGGUCUCCAUUCCUUAUUUGUAAAUUAAGGAGUUCUUCCAGUUUGUGAUUCUCUGUACUUUAACUUGGAUAGGUUUUGUAAAAUGGGGAUUAUGGGAACCCCACUAUAUUUAAGUAGAGUAGGUCUGGGGUGAGGCCCAGUAAUCUGCAGCUUUGAACAAACCUCGGCAUCCACAAAACUGGCUGAGAUACUCAGGGAAAGUUUAUGAUGCAUGAAAAUCUUAUUGCGAGCUGUCCAAAACACAUAACACUGAGCUCCAUCUGCAGAGAUCCUGUUUUGAUACCCUUGGUUGGACUGUGGCUGGGUAAUUUGCAUUUGUCAGAAGUGAGGCCAGUCACCUGGUCAACAACCCCUCCUGUCGCUCUGUGACCCUCCCCGGGCGUCCGCGGUGCUUCUUUACUUGCAUCUUGUGGGAAUGACAUCUGCGCAGGCAGCCCCUUUUUAGCACCGCUCCUCGCACGCGAGCCCAGCCCUUAAAAACCCAGCCCAGCCCCGGGUUUGCAGAUACUCAGGGCAGGGGAAGGCGCCUUUCCGCAUUUGGUGUAGUCCCGCAUGCUGCCAUUUGAUGUCGCGGGAGAACGCGCCUACAGGGAUAGGGCGGGGCAAGGAGGCGAGGAAGGAAAAAAAGCGACAAGUGAAGACUGACAUCCAUUAAGGUCAAUGGUAGCUCAAUCUUCGGUUCUCUGACUCCCAAGCUUCCCAUUCUCUUAGGAGGCUGCAUUUGUGGCGCUAAAAAAAGGGAUGGGCGUGGGAGAUUCCAGGACAUGUGCUCGCUGAAGAUACAACUGUUAGUCCAAGAUAUGCUUCCUUAUGAACUGACGGUGACUCCCAAAUUCAUAUGUUGAAGACCCAACUCCCAACGGACUUGGAGAUAGUAGAUUCUAUCAACCAAGUUUCAUAAAGAGUUCUGAUUCCCAGAGGUAAGAACUGAGCCUGGCUUUCUAGUUACAUGUUUAUUGGUAACUCUGUCCUUCCCUACAACACUUAAGCAUAUUUAAAGACUAUACCCUCCCCUGCCUCCAGCUUGGAUUGUAAGCUCCUCAAGAGCAUGGCUGUGUCCUUUAACAUCAAGUCUCCAUGUGAGAAAGAGUUCCUGCCAUAUCACAAAUGCCCAAUCAACAUUUGUAAGUGAAGAAAGCUAUUCUGUGGUGUCUGCUUUAAUAUUAAGAGAUGGCUUGCCCAAGAUUGCUAAGCAGCUUCAUUGUCUACAAUGGAACAAGAUUCUGUGGGUAGCAGUUCCAUUGGUGCCACUGACAGGAGGCCUCAAGGAAACCUAGUGCACUAGUCUUUCUGAUGACGCCUUGAUUUUCUUCCAGCACAGAGCCGUAAAAUGGAAUAUUCUUCUGACACAGAUACUUCAUGCAUCGCAUGAUCAGCCGUGUCCCAUUGCCUCUCCUUCGGUAUUUUUCCACACUGUAGCCCAUUCCUAUUUCACAAGAAGGGUCCAUGGUUACCCAUGAGACCGGGACCCCCUCUGGGCCCAGCAUACAGGCUGCUGGCAGGGCUCCUAGGCAGCGCUUGAUGUAACGCAGGCUCCUCUUAUUCAUCCCUAGCUUCCAGUUGUCAUUUACCAGCCCAGAAUAAGACACAUUCAGCUGGGCAUACUUAAAGUUCGGAGUCUCGCUGUAGAAAACAAAAAGAAAGACAACAACUUUCAUCCCCACUCCUGUAAUUUCUAGGUGCCCUUCCAUUCUAGAGAUCCCAGGCCCUCUUCUUGUUAAAAGACCCACCAUUGCAAAGUGGCGUAUUUUGACCACUGACAACCUUUAUUCAUCCCAAGGAAUGAAUUCAUCCUCUCUUCAUUCCAAAACUGAUUUAUGUGAAUUACAAAAAUGUACAAGGAAUAGCAAUUAUAAAUGAUCAGCACAUGUUUUUUGUACCUCUCCAAUUCGUCAUCUGGGUGGCCUGUCUCAGCCCAGCUUCCAAGCUUGCUUUUAUUGGUGGCAUAGAGCUUCAGGAUAUCUUCCGUAACAAAGAGGAGUGCUCUCGAAUGCUCUACCUUCACUGAAUUUGAAAAUGCAGCUGCUCUUAUCCCCUCACCUAAACUUUCUUGAAAACCUGAGAGAAAGCCAAGAAAGCAAUAUUGUCAGACAUGCAGUUCUCUACUUACACUGCUCACACCUGAUUAAUGCCUCAGUGCUUAGUAGUUCUCAAAGUUGAGUUUACACCACAAUCAGCUAUAGUCCUUGGCACACCACAGAUUGCUCCACCUCUCCCAGCUCUGAGAAUUUCAAGGAAUUUACAUUUCUAAUGAGCUCUCAGGUGAUGCUAAUGCUGUUAGUUGAAGACACAAUUUGAGAAGCACAGCUGCUUGCCCAUUUCUUCAGACUUGUUACCUUGGAUUUGGAGUUUCUGUUUCCAGUUUAUGAUCUCAGAAUUUUUCAAAACUUCUUGUGAUUUUUGAGGGUCUUUGGAGAAUACACGAUAUACAUUAGUGUAUGAAUCCAUGUCAUCAGUCAUCUCCUGUGUAGGAUGGUGAAAGGUCAGAUCAUUCCCUUGAACUUUUUCUUCUCCUCUCACUGAUUGCAAUUAUUAGAAAAAUGAAAAUUCAAAAGAAAGUUUUAGCACUAGCCCACGAUGGCUGCAGUUGGGCACGUGGAUAAUAUAAGUGAGACCUAUAAGCUACUGCUGACCUCUUACCUGUGUAACUGGAGUUUGUUAAAUAUUGAACACUGACAGUUACUGGUUAUAAACCUGCUUCUCAGAUACAUAACAAAGACAGGAUGAAAUCAGUCACCCUCCACCAGGCCUUAAGAUGCCUCACUUUUCUCCCUACCCACUCAACUGCACACUUACCUUAUUUUAUAUAUAGCAUCACAGAGCGCCCAGCAGAAGCAAAGGAAUGCAACAAUUGCUUCUCUCCCUGCUUCUCUCACCUCCUGGACCACACAUAUCCCCCUGUUAUAUAUACUGUGCCCCACAUAACCCCCUGUGGGACAUAUUCUGGGUUGUACUGAGUCCGUGUUGAUAGGGUUAAGUUCUUAAGCUCGGCACAAGAUGAAUUUAACCAUGAUUUCUCUAAGUUAUAGUGCCUACUGUUUCACCAGACACCUACAAUCUAUAUUGUUCUAGAAUCUGCAGUGUCCAGGGUUUGAGCAAGAUACUUUAGUGAAUAUAAACAUUAAGGAGACAUUGCCUUUUCCCAAGGCUACAGGAUAUCAGCCUCUUUGAAGAGUGACAUGGCCUUUACAGCCAGAAGCCCACAAAAUAGAAUGAAGUAACUGAAUUUUCCGUAGCACUCUGCGCAAUUUAUGUGGUGUUAGACUCAUGGGUUUUAAAGAAAGAUACUUGUGAUCUCAUUCUCACAAGCCACAAACUUCAUGGGACGAUGAGUAUCUGUUUAUCAGGGGAAAUAUAAACAAUAAGUGUGAGUUUUAGCAGUGCAUGUAUUAAUAUUAUGUUGAAAAUUGUAUUGUUAAGGAGUAAAAGAGAAAAUAGUGUAACUAAUUUUAAAGAAACCUUCAAGAAUUUGAGGAUGCUUUUAUAAAUGCAAGUUCCUGAAUAUGGCCAAAACACAACACCUCAGUGAAUUUAAAAGAGUAGAUGUUUUAAAAGACCGGAUUUUAAAAGAAUGACUGAACAUAGCCAAGUAAAUAUUCAAAGAAUUAUAAAAAGAAUAUCAAAGUAGACUAGAAAAUAACAAAUGGAACAAUUUGUAAAAAUGAAAGCCAUAAAUAAUGAAAUGUAGAACAAGACACAGUGCAAAUGAUAUAUAAAGCCAAAAGUUCAUUUUUAAAUGGCAAAAAGAAAGAGCAGAAGAGAGAGAGAGAUAAACUUCUGGUAAGGCAUUUAAAGGAAAUAGAAGAGAAAGAGAAAAAAGAAAAAAAAAAGGCAUAGAGUAUGAGCCAUGAGAAUGGAAACAGAAAAGGAAAAAGACUUAUAAUAGAAGAUUAUAUACUACUCCAAGGCAACAUAUUCACUGAUAAAGAAAUGGAUGUUAUCCCUCAAGAAUAAACUAUCAAAAUUGACUUUCAAAAAAUAGAAAACUUCAAUGAACUAAUAGAAAUAUCGGAAAUGAAAUGAAAUAUCUACCAUUUGAAAAGUGGACAAGAAUUAUGGCUUCCAGCUCCAUCCGUGUUGCUACAAAGGACAAUAUUUUAUUCUUUUCUAUUGCUGUGUAGUAUUCCAUAGGAAUACAUGUACCAAGUUUUUUUAUCCAAUGCACCUUUGAUGGGGAUCUGUGAUGAUUCCAUGUCUUUGCUAUUGUGAACAGUGCAGCAAUGAACAUCCUAGUGCAUGUGUCAUUUUGGUAGAACGAUUCAUUUUCUUUUGGGUAUUUACCUAGUAAUGGCAUUGCUGGGUCGAAUGGCAACUCUCUUUUAAGUUCUCUAAGAAAUUUCCAGACUACUUUCCACAGUGUAAUAAUCCUAAGCAAAUUAAUGCUGUAACAGAAAAUCAAAUAUCACGUUUUCACUCAUAACUGGGAGCUAAGCAUUGAACAUACAUGGACAUAAAUGUGAGAACAAUAGACACUAUGGACUCUAGAGGGUGGAGGGAAAGGGGCUGGGUUAGAAAACUACCUAUCGGGUACUAUGCUCACUACCAGGGUGAUGGGAUCUGUCCAUACUCCAAGACUCAGCAUCAUGCAAUAUUUGCGUGUAACAAAUAUGCACAUGUACCCCCUUUAUCUAAAAGGAAAGUUGAAAUUACAAACUAAAAAGUAGCCAAAAUUAGAUUAUUUUACAUUUCAAUUCUACAUAAGGCAAAACCAAACACAUAAUUUUAAUAGUAGACUUUGGUAACAGAUGAAAAUAUCCUAAUGCCAAAUCUGGUAAAGAAAUAACAAAAAGAGAGUUACUGACCAUAUUGGCUUAUGAAUACAGAUGCAAAAAUUCUGAAUAAAAUAUUCAGUAGCAUAUGAAAAGAAUGUGAACAUGAACAGUUUGUUUUAGAAAGGCCAGAAUGAGUUUGAUCAGAAGAUCUUUUAGGGUAAUAAAUUAAAGGAGGAAAAAAUUACAUGAGUAUAUAAAUUGCCAUAAAAAGACAAAAAUGAAAUAACAUAAAAUCUACCGUUCAUUCUAAAUAUAAUUUCUAUGAAAAUGGGAAAACAGGAAAGUGCUCUAAGCCUGUAAAGACAGAAUUAAAUGUAAUUCCAAAGGUAAGUUUUUAUAGCUAUUUCAUUAAAAUCAGGAAUGAGACAAGGAUAGAACUUUUAUUAUGGCUACUUGGUAUUGUUUUCUUAGGUUGUACAUUAUACAAUAAGGCAAGAAAGUAAAAACCCAUACAAAUAUUGGCAAAGAAGCAGCAAAUUACUUUGUUUAUAGAUUACAGUAUUACACAUUUAGAAAAUAUAAGAGACUUCGACAGAAAACAAAAACAAAUAACACCCCAGGCAAACAAAGAAGAUUUUAAAGCAUAGUGUGACAUAUUUGGAAAUGAAGAAUAUAAAUAGAAAGCAAUAACAAAAUAAUAAUGCUCAGAAAUAGAAAAGGAAAAAUAAUUUAAUAAUCUUAAAAAAUAAUAUAAAAUACCUAAGGGUAAACUUAAUGGAAAAAUCACGUAGUUUACCUCAGGAAAACACUAAUAUUUUACCAGAUGGCAUAGAACAGAAACUGAAAAAAGUGAGAGAAAGACCAUAUUUCUUGAUAAAAAUAUUUAGUAUCACAAAAAUAUUAAUGCUUCCACAAUUGUCUAAAAAAGCUCCUCCAAUACAAAUCACAAUUGCAAUACUUAGUUGGGGAAAUUGGGGAACUGAAAAAUUAGUUUUUGUUCAUAUAGCUCUGAAGUUUAUAAGAAAUAGGAAAGCAAGAAAAAGAUUAGUGAAGGGUGAUUUGCUUUAUUAGAUAUUAAAAUUUGCCACAAAACAAUGAAAUAGCAUGAGAAAAGAUUAGAAACAAAUACAGAAAUAGCUACAAAAAUAUAUAAAAGUUAUAUGACAAAAUAGACAUUUAUGUUUCAGUAGCAGAAUGACUUACUUAAUAAAUAGCACUAACGUAAUUAGCCAGCCAUUCGGGGGAUAAAUAUAAAAGAAUGUUAAUUCAUGCUAUUCAAAAAUAUAUUCCAAAUAGAAUGAAGUUUGAAAUGUCAAAAGUAAAAAUUAACUCACUGUAAGACAAAAUGAAAAAAACAACUUGUACGAUCUUGGUUUAGGAAAAAUCUUCCUAAUUAUUAACAAAAAAACUCCCAAAGCCUCAGGAAUCAUAGUGAAAAAGAUAAUAUAUUUGAUUACAUGAAAAUUAAAAAUUGCUUCAUGUGAAAAUCUAUCAAAUUAGAAAAUAAUUCUAAAUUGGGCAACAAAUUUGUAGCAUACACCUUGUGUUAGUAUCCCUCAUAUCCAAAACACAUAGAGAAUUUUAAGAAUGACACAAAAUCCCAGUGUAAAAAUGGUCAAACAAUAUAAACAGUUCAGAAGUAAACCCAAAAUGACUGAUAAUCAUAUGAAAAUAUAUGUUGAAUAUCACUAGUCAGGGAAAUGCAAAUUAAAUCUACAAUAAGAUGCCACUUUUCACCCACCAGUUUGGCAUAAAGUAGAAGAAGGAUAACAUUCACUGCUGAUGAGAAUGUGGGAAACAAUUCUUCCACAGAUUGCUAAUGGAAAUAAUACUGUGGAAUCCUUUGGGAGGGUAGUCUGGCAGUGCCUACUUAGGAUAAGAUAAGCUCUGACUUGGACUUAUCCCUUUUGGAAACCAAUUGCAUUGAGAAAAGUUUCCAGGAUGUAAAGACAUGUAUACAAGGAUGUUUAUUGAAGCAUUGUUUGUAAUGGCAAAGAAGUAUGAACAAUUUGAACCCAACAGGAGGAGAAUGACUGACUAAAUAGCAUUGCAUUGACUCUAUGGAACGCCACAGUUAUUAAAACAAAUAUGUUAGUGCUGUAUUGAUUCACUCAAAGCAAUGUCCAUAUGUCAAAGGCAAAUUAAAAAGCGAUUACAGAAGAGAUCAUAACUGAAUAUCCGUUUGUGUGUUAAUAUGGCCAAGGACACCGAUUACCCCAAAGGGUAGGAAUGGAGGAGAGGAGGGCAAAGAGGUGAGAGGUUAUUAACUUCUUAAAAUCAUGUUGAAUUUUUCCACUUCUAUAAUCAGCAUAUAUUAUCUUUCUGAUUAGGAACCAACAAAGAAAAAUUAAUAUUUUUCUAGAGAAAUUCUCCUGCAUCUCACCUUAAAAAGGUCUUCUUCAAAAUUGCAUUGAUUUUCAAUACUGAAAGAAACAUGGUAUACUAUGGAAUCAGACUAAGUGAAUGUAUUUCCAAGUAAAUUGCAGCAUAUUUCAUUCUUUCCAUUUUUUUGGUCAUAUAUGUGUGGCAUGGAACUUUUAUAUUUUAAUAUUUUUGUUUGCUGACUCACUAUAUAAAAACUAGCCUUGUUCAAAGCAAUGCAUAUAUGAAGUUACAGCUUGAUGGUACAGUUACAUUGUUAAAAUACACAUAGUGACUACAAAGUUACUGAAGUAAAAAGAACUAUUUGGUUCAUACAGUUAUUUAGCGUAUGACACUUUGAAGAAAUUGGACCAUGGAUCAAGUAAACUAACCAUUAAUCAUCGAUCCGAAAUUGUCAGGAAACCAGGAGAUCAAAAGAACAUCCCUGGGGAAGGUAUUAGGCUCAGCUUAUUAUUAUGUGGGGGCUCAGUGUCUAUACCCACCUGAAGCUGGGCUGGCCAUGAGGCUUCAGUUCACUAAUCAGAUGUGCAUGAAACAGACACAAAAAGGGGAAGUCUUUAGGGCCAAAAAAUAGACCUAGGUUUGUAUUACUAUUUCAGCUUAAUCGUGUAUUCCUUGUGUGUCCUCGGCCAAUAAUGGCUAAUUAUGGUAAAUACUAUUUAGAAUUAUGUGCUAUAUACUAAGUGUUUGACAUGUGGUAUCUCAUUUAAACCUUGUGUAAUCCUCUGAAGAAUGUCCUCCUAUUUUUCCCAUUUUAACAGAUGAUAAAACUCACAGAAGGGCCUAUGGUUAUAUAGCUAGUAAAAGUGGCAGAGUCCGUUGAACUUGAAUUCAGAUUGGGGAAUGCUUUAACAGAUGGUAUCCAGCAGCUACCUGACUGAAUAUUUCUCAGUGUUGUUUCCUCAUCUCUAAAUUAAAGAUAUUAAAGCUCA